AGCCCCCGGCCCGGCCGCGCUCCGAGGGGCUGGGGCCGCUCGCGGAGCCCCGCGGCCCGUCCCGGCAGCGCUCAGCCCCCGGUAGAGGAGUCUCGGGGCAGCGGCUCCGCGCCCGGUACCCGGCGGGGACGGGCGCUGCUGGCCCCCGGUGCCGGCAGCUGUCACCGGGACGGGGAGGGGAGGGAGGGGAACCGAAGGGGAAGGAGGGGAAGGGAGGCUCCUCCGCCGUCCCCUUACCGCGUCCCGGGCUCGGGGGCCGGCGGCGGGACUCACCGGCGUGGCGGUGCUGGAGGCCGGUGCCGCGCUGCGCCCCGCCGCCGCCCCGCGCCUCUCCCCGGCCCUUUGGAGUUUGGCGCGGAAAAGCCCCGUGCGCGGCGGGCGCCCGCCCAUUGGCCGCCGCUGGCGGGAACUGAGCGCCGGGGGCGGGGCCGCGCCCAACCGGGAGCGCGGGAGGGCCCCGCCGCCCAACCGGGAACCGAGCGGGGACCCCCCGGGGUCCGGCACGGCACGGCCCGGCCGGGCACGGCGCGGUCCCUUUGGUCCCGUCCCGCGGCGAGGGGUCGAAGGGGUCCGUUGGGAGCCCCCGCGGUGGGUGGGAAGGGUCUCCCGGUAGUCCCGGUACCGGAGGGACCGUUAGGUUGUUUGGAAACGGCACCGGGAACGGGCCGGUGCUGGGUGUGCGAAACGAGCGGGAGGCGCGAAAUGUCGCCUCGUGGCUGCCCUCCUAGCAGCCAUCUUCCAAAGGCGCAGCGGCACCGCCGAGCACGCCGCGGGGCUCGUCUCCGCCGGGAGCUCAAGGCUGUACCGGGAGCUCAAAGCCUCACCGGGAGCUCAAAGCCUUACCGGGAGCUCCAAACCUUACCGGGAGCUCAAGGCCCUGCUGUGGUGCUGAGAGAGGCCUCCAAGAUCCGAGCCGCCAGCUGCCGAGCCCCCAGGCCGGGAGCAGUGCCGGUGCUCGUGGUGCUGUGCGUGGUCCCCUCGAAAACGUGGCCGCGGGUGCUGCAGCGGGGCUGCGGGGCGGGAAGCAGCGCUGGUCCUGGAGGAUGUUUUCCUCCGAACUUGUAA
rnacentral:lncRNA from 1 species